GCCAGGUUGCCCGAGCGGCCAAUGGGAGCGGACUGUAAAUCCGUCGGCGUAAGCCUACGCAGGUUCGAAUCCUGCACCUGGCACCA
rnacentral:tRNA from 4 species